GACGAACGCUGGCGGCGUGCUUAACACAUGCAAGUCGAACGGAAAGGCCCUGCCUGCAGGGUACUCGAGUGGCGAACGGGUGAGUAACACGUGGGUGAUCUGCCCUGCACUUCGGGAUAGGCCUUGGAAACGGGGUCUAAUACCGGAUAGGAGCCAUUUUUAGUGUGAUGGGUGGAAAGUUUUUUCGGUGUAGGAUGAGCUCGCGGCCUAUCAGCUGGUUGGUGGGGUAAUGGCCUACCAAGGCGGCGACGGGUAGCCGGACUGGGAGGGUGGACGGCCACAUUGGGACUGAGAUACGGCCCCGACCCAUACGGGUGGCGGAAGUAGGGGAGAGUGCGCAAUGGGCGCGAGCCUGAUGCAGAGCCGCCGCGUGGGGGAUGACGGUCUUGGGGUUGGAAACUCCAUUCGCUAGGGACGGAGCUUUUUGUGACGGUACCUAGAUAAGAAGCACCGGCUAACUACGUG
rnacentral:rRNA from 1 species